GAAAAGGAACGCUGAAUGUUGUCUUACUAAUCAGGAACGGAAAGGACAGAACCCCACAAGGGCAGACACACUGUAAGCUGGAAUAUUCACAAGACGGGGCAACGUGCAAGGCUGGAGACAGUGUCUAUGGAGAUGAGGCAAUGAGAUGUGUGGACAACUGGAAGCCUGUGAAAGAAGAGACCUGUGCAGCCAAACAAGGUUUGGGAACCAGCACAGUAGCUG
rnacentral:lncRNA from 1 species